rnacentral:sRNA from 1 species
UAGGUAAAGGUCCGAUAAUGUCCAUGU